UGUGUGUGUGUGUGUGUGUGUGUGUGUGUGUGUGUGUGUGUGUGUGUGUGUGUUUAGUAUGCACUGGGCUCAGUCACACUUCACUGAGACACACCCUUUCUUCUUUCCCAUCUGUUUCGUUUUCAGAAAAGUCGGUCUGAGUUUCACUUCACAGGGGAGGUGGGGAGGUUUUGUUGCUACCCUGCAGUAUAAAAUCCACCCACUGCUCGCUCUCCUCAGUCCUGCAGUCCCCUGCUGAACACCAUUAUGAUGACCACAGAUGAGCAGGAUGAAGAGGAAGAUGAUGAUUAUGACAAAACGUAUGAAGAUUAUAAGUAUAAUUACUUUUUAUAGUGUACAGUCAGUCUACUCCCAAGGGUAGCACACCAGGUUCCUUUGGCCCUGCAUACUGCACGUACAAUGUAGACCAUGUGUGGGGCUGUGGAACUGGUGGGCAGAAGUCCAUCUGAGGCACUGAAACAGGCCUUAAAACUAGGAGGCGGAACUCCUUCCAGAUGAGGAAGGACUUAACCUUGAACAAAACAGACUAUCACUAUCACAAUGCUAUGUGAAGGUACUUGAAUGAAUUUCUGAGUGGCUCAGAACAUCUCAGGGUUGCUGCUUUGGCUAAUGGUUAGGAUUGCAUAACUUACUAUAUGAGGAUAUUAUGGUUGUAGAUAUCUUUUCAAUAAUGUAAGAUAUGUAGAUGCAUCUAACCUUCAAACCCAGGAUCUCUCCUGGAAUGAAGCCACAAGUCUAAACUCCCAUCUUCUGCUGUGUCAUGCAAAAAUGCACCACAAACCGCUGAAAGGCACAAAAGAGAGCCACUAUGAGAAAGGAGGGCAGAGUUCCACCUGAGGUACUGAAGAUAAGACAAGAUGUCUACCAGGCCUUAAAGGGAGAAGCGCCGCCUACCAGAUGAGGAAGGAGGACUUAAGCCUUGAAACCUUGAAGCGAGAAGACUCUCACAAUAUGAAGGCAGUUUAUUAUGUUAAUCAUAACAUGAUUACCAUAAUACAUAAUUUCUGUUGUACCUAAAACAUAUGGACAUACAUUAUUGUAUGUUCAACUAUCACAACGCUAUGUGAAGCAAUGUGAAGUGUCUCAGAACAUUUCAGCGUAGCUGCUUGCCCAAAAUGGUCAGGAUUGCAUAAUUUCCUAUAUAUAUUAUAGUGGUCACUUGCUCUGAGACCUUGAAGUAGUUGUUCCCUUUGCUCGGCUUUUGUGGAGCAAUGUGUAACGAUGCUUCAAGGGUGACUGUUGUCUAUGUGUGCAGAGGGUCCCUGAUUCAAGCCCAGGUAGUGGCAAAGAGAGGGACGGAAGCUAUACUGUUACACUGUUCAACUUUUAACAUAGGGACUAUGUUAAACUAUAACUAUAAGGAUUUCUGUCGCUUGGUUUAGUGGCUAAAGGGAACAUUUGAGGGUAGUUGUUCUGGAUAAAAUGGUUAUGAUUGCCUAUAUUUUCAUAAUGUAUUAUGAACAUAAUUUAGGGUGAUUACAUAUGUUCAUAUAUAAUGUACAUGUAGAUACAACUAACUAUCAAAGCCAAGUUAACAUCUACCUUCACUUGGAGCCACCUGUAGAAUGUCCCUUCUUGUGUUUUCCUUGUUUUGAAAUAAAUGUUUUCUUUCAUUCUAA